rnacentral:rRNA from 1 species
UACGUAGGGGGCAAGCGUUGUCCGGAAUCAUUGGGCGUAAAGAGCGUGUAGGCGGCCCGAUAAGUCCGCUGUGAAAGUCCAGGGCUCAACCCUGGGAUGCCGGUGGAUACUGUCGGGCUCGAGUCCGGAAGAGGAGUGUGGAAUUCCUGGUGUAGCGGUGAAAUGCGCAGAUAUCAGGAGGAACACCAAUGGCGAAGGCAGCACUCUGGGAUGUGACUGACGCUGAGACGCGAAAGCGUGGGGAGCGAACAGG